UACGGAGGGGGCUAGCGUUGUUCGGAAUUACUGGGCGUAAAGCGCGCGUAGGCGGACCUGCAAGUCGGGGGUGAAAGCCCGAGGCUCAACCUCGGAACUGCCUUCGAUACUGCGGGUCUCGAGUCCGGGAGAGGUGAGUGGAAUUCCUAGUGUAGAGGUGAAAUUCGUAGAUAUUCGCAAGAACACCAGUGGCGAAGGCGGCUGACUGGUCCGGUUCUGACGCUGAGGCGCGAAAGCGUGGGGAGCAAACAGG
rnacentral:rRNA from 1 species